AUAUCCGCAGGGCGGAGCGAGCACUCAGUAAGAAAGGAUAGCUUUUCUCCCUUUUCUGCUUCGCUCCCAACUAAGAAUGCAGAGUCAGGGAGAUGGCGCAGAGACAAUGCUGCUGUCCAUUGAAGCCCUCCAAAGGUCGGAGAUUCGAUCACAGGACAGCCUGGCCUGGACCAAGUCAGGUUGAUAUGGCUAGGCGGCCUGCUGGCGAGAUAGUGGGAGUGGGCGGUCCGCCCCUCAGGACCUCUGACUUGGACAGAUGACUGGAUGACUCUCUGGGGCAGCAUUCACCGGAACUCAUAUGGAGGGGACUGCCUGAGAAACCAACCUGUGUGCCUGGGUCAGGUUGAUAUGGCUAGGCGGCCUGCUGGCGAGAUAGUGGGAGUGGGCGGCCCGCCCCUCAGGACCUCUGACCUGGACAGAUGACUGGAUGACUCUCUGGGGCAGCAUUCACCGGAACUCAUAUGGAGAGGACUGCCUGAGAAACCAACCUGUGUGCCUGGGUCAGGUUGAUAUGGCUAGGCGGCCUGCUGGCGAGAUAGUGGGAGUGGGCGGUCCGCCCCUCAGGACCUCUGAUUUGGACAGAUGACUGGAUGACUCUCUGGGGCAGCAUUCACCGGAACUCAUAUGGAGGGGACUGCCUGAGAAACCAACCUGUGUGCCUGGGUCAGGUUGAUAUGGCUAGGCGGCCUGCUGGCGAGAUAGUGGGAGUGGGCGGUCCGCCCCUCAGGACCUCUGACUUGGACAGAUGACUGGAUGACUCUCUGGGGCAGCAUUCACCGGAACUCAUAUGGAGGGGGCUGCCUGAGAAACCAACCUGUGUGCCUGGGUCAGGUUGAUAUGGCUAGGCGGCCUGCUGGCGAGAUAGUGGGAGUGGGCGGUCCGCCCCUCAGGACCUCUGACUUGGACAGAUGACUGGAUGACUCUCUGGGGCAGCAUUCACCGGAACUCAUAUGGAGGGGGCUGCCUGAGAAACCAACCUGUGUGCCUGGGUCAGGUUGAUAUGGCUAGGCGGCCUGCUGGCGAGAUAGUGGGAGUGGGCGGUCCGCCCCUCAGGACCUCUGACUUGGACAGAUGACUGGAUGACUCUCUGGGGCAGCAUUCACCGGAACUCAUAUGGAGGGGGCUGCCUGAGAAACCAACCUGUGUGCCUGGGUCAGGUUGAUAUGGCUAGGCGGCCUGCUGGCGAGAUAGUGGGAGUGGGCGGUCCGCCCCUCAGGACCUCUGACUUGGACAGAUGACUGGAUGACUCUCUGGGGCAGCAUUCACCGGAACUCAUAUGGAGGGGGCUGCCUGAGAAACCAACCUGUGUGCCUGGCCCACCACCUACCAGAGGUAUUGGAAAAGAACGGAUACGGAGGAAGUGGACCCAUUUAGAGCUAAAGAUAUGGAUACCCCAGGCUGUGAAGAACUGUUAGGAGGUGUGGCAAUGCUAGGACCUUAUGAGCUAAGGUAAGCGAUUUAAUUUUUGCUCUAAAUAUUAUGGGGAUUUUCAUACUCUGAUCAUCUCUCCUGUUACAAGGAUAUCAGCACCUCCUUUAUCCCCAGGGCUACUUACUCCUUCUACCUUUGAUUAAGGAGGCAUCACAUCUUCCCACUGAAGAAAAGGGACCCUCUGAUCAUACCAGUUUGUCCAAAGAAGGCUUCGACAUUCAUUUAGGUCGAGGAAUCCCACACAACUUGCUCAUAUUAUGGACUGAAACUUAGAUAUUUUUCCUAAUGUUUCCCAGAUUUUUCCUUCAUAUCAAGGUAAACUCUAGGUUUAAAAAGGUUUCAAUGAAGAAUCUUUGACAUAAAUACUCUGUCAAGGAAGAAACUUACAUUUUAUCUUUGAAAUAGGGAAAAAUACACACCCUGAAAUUUGAACGGAGCUUAAUACAAAUUCUGCUGCUUAAGGAGCCUACAGAAAAGCCACUGACAUGAAAAACUCAAGCAGAUGUUCAUUUUUUCUCAAGGAUACUUGAAAUUAACAUCUCUUAACCAUGUGUACUUCAGAAAAUCCACUUUUAUCCAUAGAAUCCUGAGGUCUAUUCCUCUAGGAGGUCCUAAAGUUUCCCUUCUGACCUUGGUGGCCAGGCAUGCUCAAAUAAAAGAAGGAUGUCAAACACUCUGAAAUGAUGUUCUGGGACAUGACAGUAAAAAUAUGAUCCCUAAUCUAACUUCUAUUUUUAAGGCUGUCACUUGAAAUGGAGCAGUUCCAUCUUAGUUGCCCAUGCCUGCGAUGCUGCUGUACAGCUUGUGGAGAACAUAGAGCUAGAGAUUACCAAACAAUUUGUAAGAAAAAUGUUCUGAUUGCUGGCAAGCACACCUCAAAGUCUCAGAACACAUGGGUAUUCUGGACUAUGAGGACAUUUGCACUUUGUAAGCUAUUUUUGACAUCUUCUUCCAAUUCGCAAGGUAAACUUUUGCCUGAGAGAUUCUGUGACCUUCCUGCUCUUCCUUAUCCUCCCAACAUAUUCUCUUUCUCAAAAAUAACAUUCCCAUAUAUGGUCAAAGUAGUUUUAUACCUAACUGAUUAGGUAUAUUUCCAAAUGUGACUCAUUAUGUAAACAAGGUACCCUAGUCCACUCUGGUUUGAGGUUCCACAGUCCAAGUUACAAAUCAGAGCAAAGAACCUGUGCCAUCUGCCUUCAGGCAAGUCAAAAGAAAUGUAAUAACUUCAUUAAUUCUACCUAGACCUGGAUAGAUGAACAAAGUCAAAGAAGUAUCCUAGCCUUUGGAAGAAGAAAUAUGUUGCUGCCUUAUCUCUCCCGAAUGAGCACAAACUAUGAAAAUACAAAACUCUGAAUAAGAAUUGGAAACUUACGAUCAUUGCUGGAAACAUUCUCCACUGUAUAAGAUGUGUGCAGCUGAACACGUCGAGGAAACAUAAGUGCUUGCAUAACUACUUAUCCUGUUGGAAGAUUUUUGUGACCAUUGCCUGGACUCUCAAAGAUGUUACACAGAGUAUGCAUAUGGGGAAAAUACUAGCAAGCUAGUGAGGCAGAGUCUGAACAUUCCUCCAGUACCCAAUGGAGUCUAGAACCUUCCUCUGCUGACCAUGGGUGAACUAGAUAUUUCUGUCCUACAAAGUAUGACUGGGGACCUCUACCUUGGGAACCAAGACAUUCAGGAUUUCUCUUCUGUUGAAGGUGGUCUAAGAAUUUCCCAUUCUGAGAAACAGUUAUUAGAACUCCUGUGUUAGUCAAAUACUCCACACUGUUGUCUAGAGAACUGUGCCUUGGUCCUUCCAUUCCCCAACAAUGUGGCCUCGGAUCUUGCCCACCUCUGCAAGAGGGAAUGUUAACCGCUGUCUUUGACAAAAGGAAGCUUACACAUUCCUUUAUUCCAAAGGUGACAUUAGAUAUGCUCUUUUGAAUAGCAGUGUAUCACGCCAUGUAUCCUCAAGCAUCCUCUUAUGUCUUUGAACUACAUCCAAUCUAUAUUCUCUAAAUAAGGAAGAUUCAAACCUUUCACCUUUUAUCAGAAUGGCAAGGGAAAUAUAUUGUUCCUCUCUGGUGUGUGGUCCCAGGCCAUCUGUGUAGAAUUAUUGACAGGAUCCUAUGUUAUGCUCUGCAAUCUAAUCAAAUUUUUGCGACCCAUAUAUGGACAUAUCAAGACAAACUGGAGGAGGAAACCUAGCCAGGGACAGACAUCCAGGCUGUUUGAAAAAUGCUUGGGUUGUUGCUUGAACUCCCCCAGACUAAACACGAGAUGUGGAACUUCUACCAACUAAGGAAGAGUUGGAAGCUGAAGAGCAGUGGAGUGUCGCACCCACCUCGUCUGGCAAGGAAGACACAACACGGUCUACAAGGCAUGACUAUGCCAGUGCCUGCAAAGUUCAAACAAGAUAAAAAGGGAUUGGGUUUUUCCUAGGGGCCGUUGAGGGUGGUAUACCCAUUACUUGGAAAACAGAGGAGCCUGUAUGGGUUCCUCAAUGGCCUCUUUCCUCUGAAAAAUUAGUAGCUGCCAAAGAAUUAGUAGAGGAACAAUUGAAAUUAUGAUAUAUUAAACCUUCCCAGUCACCUUGGAAUAUACCCAUAUUUGUGACUAAGUAAAAAUCAGGCAAAUGGAGGCUCCUGCAUGAUCUUCAAGCCAUUAAUAAUCAGAUGCAGAUUAUGGGCCCCAUACAGAGAGGUCUGCCCCUACUUUCUAGUUUGCCCAAAGAGUGGCCUAUUAUAAUCAUUGAUAUUAAGGAUUAUUUUUUUCUCUAUUCCCCUUGCAUUGUGUGAUAGCGAACACUUUGCCUUUACUCUUCCUUCUGUGAAUAAUGAAGAGCCUGAUAAAUGGUAUCAGUGGAUAGUUUUACCUCAAGGGGUGGCAAACAGACCUACUAUGUGUCAACUUUUUGUAGGAGAAGCCCUACAACCUGUCCAUGAUGCAUUCCC
rnacentral:lncRNA from 1 species